rnacentral:rRNA from 1 species
AUAUGCUUGUCCCGAAGAUUAAGCCAUGCAUGCUGCGAUUCCGUAAUAAAUCUGCGAACAGCUCCGUAUAUCUGUUGUCACCAGUAAAGCCCCUUUGCGCCCUGUCCUGCGCGGAUAGAGGCGGUAAUUCUGCUUGUAAUACGUGUGAAACCGUCGAGGGACGCGCGCCCGCUACGCUCCGCGUGCGGCGCCGUACCUAGACCGGCUGGCAUCCCGGGGCACCAAUCGCGUCGCUAGACGUCGGGAGGAGGCCGCGGGAUAGCGCCAAAGAAUGCCUUCGCGGCACUCUUAGGCUUUGGGCUUCAGACCUAUCAACUGGGAGGCUGGGUAAGGUCCAGUCUCGGUGAUAACGGGUACAGAGGAUCAGGGUUCGGUCCUGGAGAGGUAGCCUGAGAGAUAGCUACUACUUCUAAGGAAGGCAGCAGGCGCGCAACGUUCCCAAUGGUUUGCCACCCAGUGGCCGAGGACGUUAAGGGACAUAACAAUGCCCGGCCCGCAAAGGGCGGGGUAAUUGUAAUGGGGACGUUUUAAAACCCCUACCGAGUAGCAAUUGGAGGACAAGUCUGGUGCCAGCACCCGCGGUAAUUCCAGCUCCAAUAGCAUCUAAUUGAGUUGUUGCAGUUAAAACGCUCGUAGUCCGGUGCGGACGCGCCGCCCCGUCGAGUAGGCGUUCCCGCGAGCCUCCCGCGCCCUGCGAAGGGACGGGCAGCCGCUCCGCGGGUCUGUCGAAAGGCGGGUGCCGGAGCUGUCCAUAAUGGGCGGGGGCCGGCGUGCCUGGUUCACUCCAGCAGGGCCACCCCCGACCGUUUUACUUUGAGGAAAUGUGAGCGCUCCACGCAGCCCCCAGUGGGCCUGAAGCCUGCAGCAAAGGAUAAUGCAACACGGCCCACCGUGGUGUAUUGGUUACGUACUGCUGGGCAAUGAUCAAUAGGGGAGAUCGGGGUCGGCCUCAUGGCAGGGGUAGGGGUGAAAUCCGUUGAUCCUUGCCAGGAGAACAAAAGCGAAAGCAGCCGACAAGUACUCUUUCUUUGAUCAAGAACGAAAGUCUGGGGAUCGAAGAUGAUCAGAUACCAUCGUAGUCCAGACCCUAAAUGUUGCCGACCAUGGAUGGGCGCAAGUCCGUCCCGACCCGGCCUGAACCUUGUGGGAAACCAUCAAGUGUCUGGGCUCCGGGGGGAGUAUGGUCGCAAGACUGAAACUUAAAGGAAUUGACGGAAGAGCACACAAGGAGUGGAGCCUGCGGCCUAAUUUGACUCAACACGGGGAAACUCACGAGUGCAAGAAAGGAGUAUGAUGCUCGGGAUGAAUUUCCCAGCAGAUUCUCUUAGUGGUGGUGCAUGGUCGUUCUUAGUUCGUGGAGUGAUUUGUCUGGUCUAUUCCGCUAACGAGCGAGAACCCGCCCUCUGGAAGUUGCCGGCUCGGUCCUGACUCAGUCCACGUCCCGUGGUGGUGCAUUGGGCCCGCAAGGGCCCUCUAAGUGCCGCCGUGGGGCAGGCGUGUCUCUUUGCGGCCGAUGCCGGGUCCUGCAGGGUGUCCUGGCGAUAAGCCAGGGCUCUGGGUCAAUAACAGGUCAGUAAUGCCCUUAGAUGCACUCGGCUGCACGCGCGCUACAAUGGGAGGGCCAACGGGUCUUCAGCCCCUACGCGGGUGCGGAGAAUCCUAGUAACCUCGCCCACAUCUGGGACUGCAGCAUGUAAUAUGCGGCGUCAACAUGGAAUUUCUAGUAGUCACGGUUCACCAGACCGUGGCGAUUC